UGGACACACCCGUCUUUUAUUGUUGUAAUUUUCUUUUUUUCUUUUUUCUUUUUUUUUUGGGGUAGUUGUUAUCUAGGGAAUUAGUUUUAAGUAUGAAAGAUCUUUUCUCCUAAAAUUAAUGCACAAUUUUUUGUUGAGCUGGAGUGUUGCAAAGAAAUUAUCAAGUCAUGUAAGGCUGAUAUUUUUAUUCUUAAUGCUUUGUGCAUGCGACGGAGGCAUCGGAAUUUGGUGAGGAGAAUAGUUGUAAAGGCUCCAUCAAUAGAGGGAAUGGAAGGUGAGGGAAGAUUAAUCGAAUGAUCAACCUUUUGGUUGAGGAAAAAGUUCUCCUUUGCUAAACUUUUGAUUGGGGUGAGGAAAAGGUUCCCCUUUGCUUGACUGGGUUAAGUUUAUGAACUUAUCUAUUUUUUGGAUGAUGUUCUCUUUGCUAAUUAUUUUUAUUAUUAUUUCUUGUUUUUGGGAAAAAGUAAAAAAAUUAGCAGUUUUUUUGCUUUUUUUGUUUGCAUUACUUCUAAAUAGUUUGAAUGCUCUCAAUUGGAUCUUAGUUGUGAGUCUAUGAAAUAUUUCUUUUGAGAUUGUGGUUUGAA